rnacentral:rRNA from 1 species
AUUGAACGCUGGCGGCAUGCCUUACACAUGCAAGUCGAACGGCAGCGGGGACUUCGGUCCGCCGGCGAGUGGUGAACGGGUGAGUAAUGUAUCGGAACGUACCAUUGAGUGGGGGAUAACGUAGCGAAAGUUACGCUAAUACCGCAUAUUCUCUCCGGAGGAAAGCAGGGGACCGCAAGGCCUUGCGCUCUUUGAGCGGCCGAUAUCAGAUUAGCUAGUUGGUGGGGUAAAAGCUCACCAAGGCGACGAUCUGUAGCGGGUCUGAGAGGAUGAUCCGCCACACUGGAACUGAGACACGGUCCAGACUCCUACGGGAGGCAGCAGUGGGGAAUUUUGGACAAUGGGGGCAACCCUGAUCCAGCCAUGCCGCGUGAGUGAAGAAGGCCUUCGGGUUGUAAAGCUCUUUCGGCCGGGAAAAAAUCGCAUGGGUUAAUACCCUGUGUGGAUGAUGGUACCGGAAUAAGAAGCACCGGCUAACUACGUGCCAGCCGCCGCAGUAACAC